rnacentral:rRNA from 1 species
UACGAAGGGGGCUAGCGUUGCUCGGAAUCACUGGGCGUAAAGGGUGCGUAGGCGGGUCUUUAAGUCAGGGGUGAAAUCCUGGAGCUCAACUCCAGAACUGCCUUUGAUACUGAAGAUCUUGAGUCCGGGAGAGGUGAGUGGAACUGCGAGUGUAGAGGUGAAAUUCGUAGAUAUUCGCAAGAACACCAGUGGCGAAGGCGGCUCACUGGCCCGGUACUGACGCUGAGGCACAAAAGCGUGGGGAGCAAACAGG